UUCUCCAAUCCCAUUCGUCCGCGCCCCGUGCUCGACCUCGAGAACAAGCAAAAAGGUCAAACCCUAGCCGCUCGUCCCGAGCCCCGCACCCCCUCUCCCACGCCGCCGCCCCUCUCCGCGCUCGCCUUGACGGCCUCCUCUCCUCCCCGUGCCGCCGCCCCCCUCCCUUCUCCCUGGAGCAGAGAUGCCUCAGUAGGGCAGCAGCGUCUCCAUGGACGUCAGUAGCAGCAGCGCCUCCAUGGACGCGGCGGCGUGACGGCUCGCCGGGGUGGAUCCCCUCCUCCGGCCCCAUCCUGCACCUCUCCGGCUGCCCAGUUGCAACGCAGCAGCAGCAGGCGACCUGCAGCAGCUCCUUCCUACCUUCCAUGGACGAGCUCGACGGAGACGUUGUCCAGCCCGACCACGGCCACGACUACCUCUCGCACAAGUCACGCCUGUCGGGGUGACUAUUGCUUUGCUGCAGCAGAGUUUGCAACGGAUGCUUGCUUCCUGAGGUGAGUGACCACCUAUGCAUCGUGACGGUGGUGGAUGAUGGCAUCACCUACAAAACCCCAAUGUUGAGCUCUCUCUCUGCUCGCUCUGAGCCGUGCCCGUCAAGACAAGGUUAUCUCAUGCUAGGGUUGUUCACUUGCCAUGUACUACUACAAGAAUUGUCGCUGUCCUCUGUUUAUUUUCCCCUUGCUGUACAUGUUAUUAUGGUUUAUUAAGUGCUCGAUUGAUGAUCUGCUAUUCAUGUGAUCACUACUUCAGUUAGUGUUCUAAAUGCUUAACUAACUGCGCCUCAAACGGCAGCUGCUCUUCUCCGCCUUGGACCAGAACCCUGGCAGCUGGAUAAGAGCAGAGGAGCGAGCAGAGCAGAUGGUUCAGCCGGCCUCCUCUCUCUCCCUCCCCUUGCUUUCACUCGCUUUUGGCACCCUCACUGCCAUUGGCUGCAUACCCAAGUUCAUCUCUCCCUUUCUUUGCCCCUGUGUCUCUUAUUUAUUUGAUUUGAUCUGAGAAUGGAAUCACUAGCGAUAUGUAUUUUCGAUUUAGGUCUUCAGAAAGAGUAUGGGAUGUCUGAGCAAGCUUUUUAUCCAUGCAUUUUUUCCUAUUGCAAUAUUUAGUUGAUUUCGCAAUAGAAGAUUUGGACAUAUUCCUUGUAGAUCUAGGCCUGUAAUCCACGUGUUUGUUACUCUGCAACAUUCAGAUCAAGAAGUAUUUAUAUCAACUUUUUCCCAAAUUACACACAAUUUUCAAGUUCUUUCAUUUUCUUUAAGGAGCUCCUUCAGUUUGUAUGCUUGAAUAUCUGAGGUAGUUCUGCAUUCUGACAUGUUCUCCUGCAUCUCUCUUUAUGUUCUACAGAUAAUUGAUGAAAAAACUUUGAUAAAGAAAUACCGGUGUCGUCUCAUUGUCUUCAUCGACAUGAGCAUCUCUGUCAGACCACGCGUCCAUGCCUUCUCAUCUACCUUGCUGGAGUGGCCGCCUCCUCGCUGAUGUAUUGCGCUGCAUCGACCUUCCUCUGCUGCCGCUGCCCGGGUCCCUCCGCUCGCUCCUGCCGAGAAAUUGCAGGCUGAGGUGAGCACCAUGAGGAUGAGGAGGUCAGUGGCUGAUAUAGAGAGCUCCUCGAACGGGGAAGUAGCAGUUUUGGAGAAACUCGAAGAUGUCAUGUUCAGUUUUGAUGGGAAUCACUACAAAUAGUUAUGUCCAUGAAUGUAAGUGUUUUAUGAAUUUUACCUCCCAUUUACAGUUUUGAUGGGAAUCGCUACAACAACAAUUAGAAGAGACUGCAUUUCAGGUUCAGAACCAAUUUCUAGGGAAGCUUAGUGGAUGAAUUAGCAUUGUGUAAAGUCUGUCUAAGCUCCUGUCUCUCUUCUUUCUAUAAACUGGAUGGCCAGGAUAGAUUUCUUAAUAACAUUUUGGGAUUGUUUGAGCACUGGACAAUGUUAACAGGUUUACCAUUUCUCAUUUCUUAAUACCAUUUUGGGAUUGUUUGAGCACUAUACCAAUGUUUUGCUUUCUGCUAAAGUCAAAGAUAUUGUAUCCUUGAGCGUUUUUCAAUUAUUGCCAAUACAUGCCAAAUUCUGCAUAUUCCUUAAAGUGACACUGAUUUUGGUUUUACUUCCCAUCUGCAUCCUCUUAUAUCGUAGGCGAGAAAUUUAUUAAAAUAUUGUAUUGGUUCCAAAAUAAUAUUUUCGGUGAAAUAGGGUGAUAAUUUCAGUAUCACUCAAUAUGUAUCAUUGUCUGUAGAAAAUAUAAAGGUACAUGCACUCAUCUGUUUUAUCUGCAUGACCUAAUUGUAAUAGAUGACCAGCGAUUUAAGAUUUGAGCCAUUGUGGCUACUUUUUAUGAUUUUCAAAUGGGUUACAUGCAGAUUGUCGUUUUAUUUAUGAGCACCUUCGUCUUGCUAUCGCCACAAUGGGAAAUUGAUCACGGUGGCAAUAUGCCCUUCUAUGCUGUCUGAUUGACUCUUUUUAUUAGCAUGGAGAAUACCCUUUAGUUCACUAAGAUUAGUUUCUAUUCACAUUAUUCUUAUAUAAAAAAGAUUAUUGUGCUAAAAAAUUGCAUGACAUUUUGGCAAAACAUUGUUUAGUAAAAAGUUAUGUAGAGGUGAAUUUUAGAGGUGAAAUGUUGUGGAUGUUCUGACUGGGAUAUGCUUGGAUUAACUUUAGCGUGACACCUUAUUCAAUAUCUGUGUAUUGGGUUCUACUAAUUGUCAGCGCCUUAAUUUUCUUUCCUCCCAAUGCCAUGUGAUAUUUACUGGACUUUAAAUCACGUGCUUGCAAGUCGUUGUUGUGUCGUCUCUCUCUCUCUCUCUAACCACUCCCCCUCCCAUCAUCUUGGCUUGCAGGUCGCCGCCGUGUCUCUAGCCAGUCCAUGACAUGGCUUGAAAUCUAGCUAGGUUGUUGCCAAGUUAACUUAGGAUUGGUAACCUACAAUGUAUUAGUGUAGCAAGCACAUGGGAAGGUGGGAUUACAUUUUAUACUCUUGAAACUAUGUAGAAUUUUGCAUGUACAUUUUUCACUAAAGCAAAAUAGAGAUCCCCUAACUAACAGAUCUAUGUUGGCUAUGAUCGCACCUUUUUACAUUGUCAUAUUUGUAGAUAUACUGUAUGAUGGAGUAUCAACUAGCUGCCUUUGGUCGCACUUAGUAUAAAAGUCUCAUAUAUUGUCGUGUAUGUACGUUCUGCAUCAUACAACAACAUACCAUUAGUGUUUAUUAUACUGUCAUGCCUCUACUUCUCUGUUGUAUACAUAGUUGCCUGUAUAUCUACUUGGAUUGUUUGCUGAACAAUUUCUCUAAUGUACAUCUCUGAAAUUACUAAUAUAUGGAUUUUCAGAUCCAAGAAAGAGAUAGGACCAAGGAAAUUAGGUCUCUACCUCUCUAUCACUCACAUUUUAUUUUCCUAAUAUGUGGAUUUUCAAAAGAUGAUGUAUGCCGCUCCCUCUGGUUUUAGUUUCAGGAUGCUUCUCUCCAUGGGCAUCUCUAUUUAGUAUGUAGAGUUCAACUAAACCAUAAAAACGUGGAGGUUUAUUUUAUCUAUGUUUGCACCCAUGCAAAUCUUGAAUUGUUUACUUUGAUGGUUUGUCGACUGUUAGAAUAUACUCCCUCCGUUCCUAAAUAUUUGUCUUUUUAGAGAUUUCAAAUGGAUUACCACAUACGGAUGUAUAUAGACAUAUUUUAGAGUGUAGAUUCACUCAUUUUGCUUCGUAUGUAGUCACUUGUUGAAAUCUCUAGAAAGACAAAUAUUUAGGAACGGAAGGAGUAGUAUGUUGUGUUCAACAUGCUCACAAAAUUGAAUAGAAGCCCUUCUGAUGUCGAAUUCAGAUUAAAUCUAUGUACUAACUGGUAUUACAGGGUAAAACAACAUUUGUGUUCUGGAUUCAGUUUUGGUUCUUUUUGUAAAAGUAGUCAGUUAGUGAUCUUAAUGAAACAUUGCAUAUUUUUUCAUAAAAAUGGCAAAUAAAUUUAUAUCACUAUCUAUUUUACCAGGUAAAAACACCAGCAUGUUGUUUGUGGUGCAUGCACGGUUGUAGCGAAGAUGUGCAUGCAUUGCUGACCAUGGAGCAUUGCAAGGCUUCAGUAUAUGUACAGCAACUCAGAGACUGGACACAGUGCCACUUGCUACAACCACCAUGCAAGUGGUCGAUGCUUUAGUGUUGAACUAUUGAUUAGUCCCUCUUUUUUCUAUAAUCUAUGUGAUGAUGUCCCUUUCCAUGAAAACUUGUUAUGUGGAUUCAAUAGAAAUGAUGUUUUAGACA